rnacentral:rRNA from 1 species
UGCCAGCAGCCGCGGUAAUACGAAGGGGGCUAGCGUUGUUCGGAAUUACUGGGCGUAAAGCGCGUGUAGGUUGGUAUACAAGUCAGUGGUGAAAGCCCAGAGCUCAACUCUGGAAUUGCCAUUGAAACUGUAUGCCUAGAGACUCGGAGGGGAUAGCGGAAUUCCUAAUGUAGGGGUGAAAUCCGUAGAUAUUAGGAGGAACACCGGUGGCGAAGGCGGCUAUCUGGACGAGUACUGACACUGAGACGCGAAAGCGUGGGUAGCAAACAGGAUUAGAUA